UGGGGAAUAUUGCACAAUGGGCGCAAGCCUGAUGCAGCCAUGCCGCGUGUAUGAAGAAGGCCUUCGGGUUGUAAAGUACUUUCAGCGGGGAGGAAGGCGAUAAGGUUAAUAACCUUGUCGAUUGACGUUACCCGCAGAAGAAGCACCGGCUAACUCCGUGCCAGCAGCCGCGGUAAUACGGAGGGUGCAAGCGUUAAUCGGAAUUACUGGGCGUAAAGCGCACGCAGGCGGUCUGUCAAGUCGGAUGUGAAAUCCCCGGGCUCAACCUGGGAACUGCAUUCGAAACUGGCAGGCUAGAGUCUUGUAGAGGGGGGUAGAAUUCCAGGUGUAGCGGUGAAAUGCGUAGAGAUCUGGAGGAAUACCGGUGGCGAAGGCGGCCCCCUGGACAAAGACUGACGCUCAGUUGCGAAAGCGUGGGGAGCAAACA
rnacentral:rRNA from 1 species